rnacentral:rRNA from 1 species
CCCUUAGAUGUUCUGGGCCGCACGCGCGCUACACUGUUCGACGCAGCGAGUCUUAACCUUGACCGAAAGGUUUGGGUAAUCUUCAGCAAAGUCGAACGUGAUGGGGAUCGAUCAUUGCAAUUAUUGAUCGUGAACGAGGAAUUCCUAGUAAGUGCAAGUCAUCAGCUUGUGCUGAUUACGUCCCUGCCCUUUGUACACACCGCCCGUCGCUACUACCGAUUGAAUGGUUUAGUGAGAUCUCUGGAUUGACGCUGGCUAGGGGGCGACCCUUGGCCAGGCUGUCGAGAAACUGCUCAAACUUGAUCAUUUAGAGGAAGUAAAAGUCGUAACA